UUAUUGAACGUUGCAAAAGAGAGGUUUUUGCAGCGUUUGUUAAACGUUGCAAAAGACUAUCUUUCGCAACGUUUAACGUUUAAACGUUGCAAAAACCUCUCUUUUGCAACGUUGAACAAACG
rnacentral:miRNA from 1 species